UCGGUCAUGAUUAAAUCAUAAACGAUUUUUGAUGCUUUGGCUCCAUCGAGAAUCUUGAAAAUCCUUUAAAAGGCUUGAUCCUGAAAGGAAAAAGUCUCUUUUUGCCUGGAAAUUCAAAGUGAACAGUAGUGCGCGUUUAUUAUCGAGUAUUUUGUAAAAGUUAAUUAAAAGACCCAUUGUUUAAAGGGUUAGUUGAAAAGCAUGCAGUGUUAGGCGUUAAAAGAAGUGUUAAUUGGCAAGUUAAAAACCAAUUAAAGCCAGACUACGUGAAAGCAGAAAAUUCCAAUCACCACCAUCGGUGAAUUAGAAAAGAAGUGAAGAAAAAGGUCCACGAAGCGGACCUUUUUCUGUUUCUUUAUUGGCAGUUUCUGGCGAAGUGGACAACAGCGGAAGAUUCGGGGGAGUGGAAGCAAGAGCGCAUCCAGGCCGGGACUCGGAUAGUCGCCAUUGGAGUUCCCGAGCGUUAGCCAUCGGCGUCAUCCAGUCGCCAUUGGUCGGAAAUCGAAUCCGACGCCAUCUUUCCAGCCACUCCGAGGUCAUAGCCACCGUCUCCGCAUCCGUCCGUCGCAGCAAUACCGCCAUCGUUUCCGUUACCGGCUGCCAAACCGCCGGGAAACCGUCUUCUUUAUUCCCAUCGUCGGGAUUACGAGGCAUCAAGCUCACCACGACACGCCCGCCCGUCAUAGUCAGGCCUGCCGCCGAAUCGGAUUGUGAUCCAACAGUUACCAGCCACGCAAGUACCCCUGAUUGACGUCAUGUCCUCAAUAAAUUGUAAUUUGAGUAGAAAAGCCUCGAGUAGCUAAUUUCAGAGAGCAUUGCCCUGGUUUAUUUAGCAUUUCCACGACUUUU